rnacentral:rRNA from 1 species
AUCGUACGGGAGGCAGCAGUGAGGAAUAUUGGUCAAUGGGCGAGAGCCUGAACCAGCCAAGUCGCGUGAAGGAUGACUGUCUUAUGGAUUGUAAACUUCUUUUGUAGGGGAAUAAAGAACGGUACGUGUACCGUAGUGAAUGUACCCUACGAAUAAGCAUCGGCUAACUCCGUGCCAGCAGCCGCGGUAAUCGAU